rnacentral:rRNA from 1 species
GAUGAACGCUGGCGGCGUGCCUAAUACAUGCAAGUCGAGCGAACGGACGAGAAGCUUGCUUCUCUGAUGUUAGCGGCGGACGGGUGAGUAACACGUGGAUACCCUACCUAUAAGACUGGGAUAACUUCGGGAAACCGGAGCUAAUACCGGAUAAUAUUUUGAACCGCAUGGUUCAAAAGUGAAAGACGGUCUUGCUGUCACUUAUAGAUGGAUCCGCGCUGCAUUAGCUAGUUGGUAAGGUAACGGCUUACCAAGGCAACGAUGCGUAGCCGACCGGAGAGGGGGAUCGGCCACCUGGGAACGUGAACGCGGACCAGACGCCUACGGGAGGCAGCAGUAGGGAAUCUGCCGCAAUGGGCGAAAGCCUGACGGAGCAACGCCGCGUGUGUGAUGAAGGCCUUCGGAUCGUAAAACUCUGUUAUGAGGGAAGAACAGAUGUGUAAGGAACUGAGCACAUCGUGACGGUACCUAAUCAGAAAGCCACGGCUAACUACGUG